rnacentral:rRNA from 1 species
AGCGAACGCUGGCGGCAGGCCUAACACAUGCGAGUCGAACGAACCUUUCGGGGUUAGUGGCGGACGGGUGAGUAACACGUGGGAACGUGCCUUUAGGUUCGGAAUAACUCAGGGAAACUUGUGCUAAUACCGAAUGUGCCCUUCGGGGGAAAGAUUUAUCGCCUUUAGAGCGGCCCGCGUCUGAUUAGCUAGUUGGUUGAGGUAAUGGCUCACCAAGGCGACGAUCAGUAGCUGGUCUGAGAGGAUGAUCAGCCACAUUGGGACUGAGACACGGCCCAAACUCCUACGGGAGGCAGCAGUGGGGAAUCUUGCGCAAUGGGCGAAAGCCUGACGCAGCCAUGCCGCGUGAAUGAUGAAGGUCUUAGGAUUGUAAAAUUCUUUCAACGGGGACGAUAAUGACGGUACCCGGAGAAGAAGCCCCGGCUAACUUCGUG